UAAGAAGUCUCUGAUUCUUCUACAAAAUGU
rnacentral:piRNA from 1 species